UGGAAUGUAGCCAAGCGGUAAGGCCUUCGAUUCUGAAUCGAAUAUGCGAUGGUCCGAAUCCAUCUAUUCCAACCA
rnacentral:tRNA from 1 species